ensembl:lncRNA
UGUUUUCAAGCAACUAUUUCCUAUUCCUCCUCAAGACCUUACAGGUGACGCUUUUUGCAUGAGCUUCUCGGCCUAAUCCCCUCGUCUACGCCUCUAACUGCCAUACGACUAAUGCCCCAGACCCGAGGCCUCGACUCGGCCCAGCUAAGCUGUUUGGGGGGAUUUGAUCGUGCAUAGAUGACAUUGAGUUUGAAUGGGUCACUGCAGAUUCUGUUUUAGCCACAGCCUGCUGGAAAGGAGUCAAGUGGAGGGCAAGCACCUGGGCCAGACGACCUUUACCUGCAGAAAGCCAAAGAAGAGUGACCCUGGAGCUGGAGGAGGAGGAGGAGGCUUCGGACAUCCACCUCGGUCAAAAAGGCCGUAGUAGCUCCGAAGCCAUCAGAGACAGUGAAGAAGAG